GUGCUCGCUUCAGCAGCACAUAUACUAACAUUGGAACUAUACAGAGAAGAUUUUCAUGGCCCCUGCACAAGGAUGACAUGCAAAUUCAUGAAGCAUUCCAUAUAUUU
ensembl:snRNA U6 U6 spliceosomal RNA